rnacentral:rRNA from 1 species
GACGAACGCUGGCGGCGUGCUUAACACAUGCAAGUCGAACGGAAAGGCCCUGCUUUUGUGGGGUGCUCGAGUGGCGAACGGGUGAGUAACACGUGAGUAACCUGCCCUUGACUUUGGGAUAACUUCAGGAAACUGGGGCUAAUACCGGAUAGGAGCUCCUGCUGCAUGGUGGGGGUUGGAAAGUUUCGGCGGUUGGGGAUGGACUCGCGGCUUAUCAGCUUGUUGGUGGGGUAGUGGCUUACCAAGGCUUUGACGGGUAGCCGGCCUGAGAGGGUGACCGGCGGCAUUGGGACAGAGAGAGGCCCGAGAGCCCGCCGGGGGGCGGCGGGGGGAGAUGUGGCGGAAGGGGCGCGCGUGGGAUCCGGCAUCCCCGGGUGCGGAAGGGGGGGCUCCGGGUUGUAGCCCGCUUCCGCCGGUAAAGAAGCGGGGGUGAGGGGAGUGGAUAAAAAAGCACCGGCUACCUGCACG